CCUACGGGAGGCAGCAGUGGGGAAUAUUGGACAAUGGGCGCAAGCCUGAUCCAGCAAUACCGCGUGUGUGAAGAAGGCCUGAGGGUUGUAAAGCACUUUCAAUGGGGAGGAAAAAUGCAGGCUUAAUACGUCUGCCCUUGACAUUACCCAUACAAGAAGCACCGGCUAACUCCGUGCCAGCAGCCGCGGUAAUACGGAGGGUGCGAGCGUUAAUCGGAAUUACUGGGCGUAAAGCGUGCGUAGGCGGCCUGUUAAGUCAGAUGUGAAAGCCCUGGGCUCAACCUGGGAACGGCAUUUGAAACUGGCAGGCUAGAGUUAGGUAGAGGGGAGUGGAAUUUCAGGUGUAGCGGUGAAAUGCGUAGAUAUCUGAAGGAACACCAGUGGCGAAGGCGGCUCCCUGGACCCAAACUGACGCUGAGGUACGAAAGCAUGGGUAGCAA
rnacentral:rRNA from 1 species